GGUUGUGGUUCAGUGGUAGAGCGCUUACCUAUCAUGUGUGAGGCACUGGUUUUGAUCCUCUGCACCUCAUAAAAAUAAAUAAAUAAAUAAACAAAAUAAAGGCAUUGUGUCCGUCUACAACUAAAAAACAAUUUUUUAAAAAUAUUAAAGUCAUUUCCAAGAAGAGAAUGAAAAAUAAAAUUUGAAAAUGUACUGUUGAUAGCUCAGUAGUAUAUUACAUGUGCUUAGCAUGUAUGUGCAAAGGUCCUGGGUUCAAUCAUAAGUACACACCA
rnacentral:tRNA from 1 species